AUGGGAACUUGUAGAGAUGCAAAGAUGCGCCCGGUCGUUUGCUUGUCUGACCACCCACCCCAUCUAGUCAGCGAGUUGAUUAACCAUGCCUCGGCAUCAUGGGGCCGAGAGAAGAUCCAACAAUUGCUUCUGCCAAUGGAUGCAGACACAAUUUUGGGAAUUCUACUGCCGACAAGAAAUAUAGAGGAUCACUGGUCAUGGCAUUAUGAUAACAAUGGUCUUUUCUCAGUCCGUUCCGCUUAUCGCAUGCUGGUGUUGACGAUGUGCAAGUGCCAUACAAAAUAUGUGUUUUUCUUUGGAGAUUAUAGCGCAGAACUCGCUUCCUACAUCCGAUGUGCCAAACAAAAGGAAUAUGUCUACUGCAUGCAGUUGUGGAAUUUGUGGGGCGGAAGAUUCAUGGCAUCAUUCACUUCUUCAUUGUACUAUGGCAAGGGGUGUGUGGGCGCCGGGUGA
rnacentral:rRNA from 1 species